UCCUUUGUGGUGUAGUGGUUAACAUCGCUCGCUUUCAAGUCUAUCACGACUAGUACCGAGCAGCCCCGGGUUCGAUUCCCGGCGAGGGAA